UUAAUCUGUAGCAGAACUAAGUCUGGCCUGUCCAGAGGGUGAGGGCGGAGAACCUGCACUAACUUUUAUGCUACUAAAUUGAACUGGAAGGGAGCUACUUUAAGAUACCCACGCUAGCAUCCAGGUAUGAAGAGGAAGGAGGGAGAGUCCUUAAGAAAAAUUGCUAGCAUAGCAGUAUGCCAUGGAAGCACAGCCGAAGUCCCUAGACCUUGUGUUUUGAAAAUGCUGUGAGUCGUAAGAAGACAACAGGGCCAUGUUCAGCAAGGACGUGAUGGCCAAAUAUUUGCCUGUGGAUGAAGGCAUCUGGAGAGUCCAAACCACAAGGUGUUUUGCUUGGAGCUGGAACCUUGCUCCACCCUCUCACAUUUUCUGUGUUGGUGAGGAGGAUUUUCUUUGCCUACAAGCUUGGGUUGUCCUGAAAUAA
rnacentral:lncRNA from 1 species